rnacentral:misc_RNA from 1 species
GCGCAGGCCCGGCCCUGGGACGAGGCUGUUUACGCCAUUUUGGUGUAGGUUCUGGUCAGUGUAGUGGUGAGCGGCGUGAAUCCAAGCCAUCUCUGUAUGUGGGUGACUAAGAGGAUUAUAUAUUAGUGUAACCAUGAGUACUAACGCCAACAACACCAGCAAGGUGUCAACGACGGAUAGAGUCAUCAAAAGUGUGCCAUUCCCGCCGUCACACAAGUUAAAAUGUCCGGAAGUGUUCGACGCGAAGACAGGGAAGCCAAAGUUCGAGUGGCUCAAGAACCACUUCAUCCUGGAGGGGCGCAUCGACGAGGCCGCAGCUCUCCGCAUCAUCAACGAGGGCGCCGCUCUCCUACGCCAGGAGAAGACCAUGAUCGAUAUUGAGGCGCCCGUCACAGUGUGCGGUGACAUCCACGGCCAGUUCUAUGACCUCAUGAAGCUGUUCGAGGUCGGAGGUCCACCUAGCUGUACCAAAUAUCUCUUCUUAGGCGACUAUGUAGACAGGGGCUACUUUAGUAUAGAGUGUGUGCUAUAUCUAUGGGCCCUAAAGAUAUGCUACCCUAACACCUUAUUUCUAUUAAGAGGGAACCACGAGUGUAGGCAUUUAACAGAAUACUUCACAUUUAAGCAAGAAUGUAAGAUCAAGUACAGCGAGCGGGUGUAUGAUGCGUGCAUGGAGGCCUUCGAUUGCCUCCCGCUGGCCGCCCUCAUGAACCACCAGUUCCUCUGCGUGCACGGCGGCCUGUCCCCUGAGCUGCACACCCUCGACGACAUCAGGAAACUGGAUAGGUUCAAGGAGCCACCUGCUUUUGGACCCAUGUGUGACAUCCUGUGGUCUGACCCGCUAGAGGACUUUGGCAAUGAGAAAAAUGCGGAACACUUCUCACACAAUUCUGUACGAGGUUGUUCAUAUUUCUAUAGCUAUGCAGCUUGCUGUGACUUCUUACAAACCAACAAUCUCCUGUCCAUAAUCAGAGCUCAUGAAGCUCAAGAUGCAGGGUAUCGUAUGUAUCGUAAAAGCCAAACAACAGGAUUUCCCUCCCUUAUUACAAUAUUUUCUGCUCCAAAUUACCUGGACGUGUACAACAACAAGGCUGCCGUUUUGAAAUAUGAAAAUAAUGUGAUGAACAUCCGACAGUUCAACUGCUCCCCUCACCCUUACUGGCUGCCAAACUUUAUGGAUGUGUUCACCUGGUCACUACCAUUUGUUGGAGAGAAGGUGACGGAGAUGCUGGUAAACGUGCUCAACAUCUGCUCUGACGACGAGCUCACGGAUGGUGAUGAGCCCAUUGAUGAAGCAACAACAGUGCUAAUUGUGCCGGAGAAAGGAGCCAUGCGGAAGGAGGUCAUCCGAAACAAGAUUCGUGCUAUUGGCAAGAUGGCUCGUGUAUUCUCAGUCCUAAGAGAGGAAAGUGAGAGUGUGCUACAGCUGAAGGGCCUCACGCCUACUGGUGCUCUCCCACUUGGAGCCUUGUCUGGAGGAAAGGCAUCUCUUAAAAAUGCUAUGGCUGGCUUCUCUCCUAACCACAAGAUCACAUCCUUUGCGGAGGCCAAGGGUCUGGACGCCAUGAAUGAGCGCAUGCCCCCCAGGAAGGAUGCCCCUGCCAUCCCUCAGCCUGUGGCGUCAUCACCGUCAGCUGCGGACGAAGCAGAAAAAUCCAAUUCCUCCAACACAGCACCCAACACCCACUUGUGAAACCCACAGCCUCAGCUCUGUUAAUGAUGUGAAUGGCCAGAGGAAUGAUGACACCUGUCCACACUGAGCAAGGAUGUUCAGCCAACUCUUGCAUUUCCCCAUGGAGUGCAGAAAGUGUUGGUAUGGUGUAUGAAUGUAGGUGAUGAACUGUCAACAUCUUGCUGAUCUCAAGUAUGCAGUGAGCCGGUGGGGUGAGGCUGUCUGGCCAGGUCUUGGUUGUGAUGCAAGUAUUGCCUCAGCCCCUGGUGGGCCCCACUGGCCAGCCAACCUCACUAGGCAUCCUGCUAUGCUGUUUCUGUUGCUGCUGCUGUUGGCCAAGACUGGGUUAGGCCAGGUCGCAGCCCGUAAGGGUCCAUCAGUGCUGCCACCACAGAGGGUGCAAGGAAACGUGGCAGAUGCGGCCUGGCCGGCCCCAGGUCACCAGCACCAAGCUGCUGCUGCUAUAGACUAAUGACCCGGUCACCUAACCCUCUCCAGUGUCCUCCUCCAGUACACUGUCAGACUACACCCUCUGUGUUGCCUACACUGUUGGAUUUCUGUUACAUCCUCCCUUCCCAUUGUGUUGGUGAUGUAGACCAGGACUCAUGAGUGUUGUCAAGGAGCCAUCACAGCUGCCAUAAUGGUAAGCACCUGCCAAGCUCCAGCCAGCCAGUGGUGGGACAGGUGUUAACACAGUGGUGUGAAAUGUGACUGUGUGAACCCUCCAGCAAAGCCAUAAUGACCAGGAGUCACCAGCUGCAGUGUCUGUCCAGGUUGUGUCACAUGACUAACAAUUUAAUGUUUAAAAGAAACAUUACUCACAUUAUCUAAGUGAACCUGUUUAUAAAUUGACAAAAUCAUGUAAAUAGUUUCUUUAUUAUUGUGUAUAGCAUGCUUGAAUAUUUAAAAGACUGUCGUACAGCCUCUCUAACUUGUCCCUUCCCUUCCUCUGUAGCAAGACAGCAGCCUGUGUAUUGGUCCAAUGGACUGUUGGCAAGCUUUUUCCUAAAUAUCUGCCAUCAAUGUGACACUUAAGGAUGCAAUACAUUUUGGCCUGUGUGCAAUAUAUCCUCAUUCUCAUCUAGAUUUCCAAAUUCUCUUAGGUUAGAAUGGUAGCUUGUCAUCUUUUGAUCAUUGUUCUGUUGCUCCUCAAAUGUAAUUUCUAUAAGUUUAAUACCAUUUAGCAUUAAGCCAUACUCUGCAGAGGGAGUGGUGUACAUGUAGCAGAAAAACCUGUUUUCAGGGCUAUAAAUCCUCAUGUAAUUCAGUCCCUCUGACAUUACCAUUACAUGUUAAUGAUGAUCCUGUUGCUUAUUGACGUUUUCUUCUCGAUGGUAAUUUUCAUACAUGCAACUGUUUUUGUCAUGUGAGAUAGUAGGAUUCAUAUUUAUCAAUUCUGCCAUAUUAAAUGUUAUAUAAAAAUAACUACUACUAAUAAGUCGUGUUUAAAACAAAUUUUAUGCCUUUUUCCAAACCAAAGUGUCCUAGUCAUAUUUCUCGAGUGGAAACAAGGCACCGAGGCCCAGCCAGUAAGUUGUUGAGCCUGACAGAGCCCCAACUCCAAGCUUCCCUCUCCCAUCCAUGCCCCUCAAAGGACUCUGGGCCCUGCCCACUCUGUGCUGGGAUCCAUCAGCCAUCACAUGUCAAGUUUACCUGUGUUGUAAGUGUUGACAAGAAAACAAAACCUCUAAAAGAAAUGUGUACAUUUAAACAUCUUGUUAAACACUCUCACUCAUUUUUCACUCUAAAACUUUGAUGGUUGGUGUACAUUUUGAACAUGCAAGUAGCCCUAAACUUUUUUCUCUAGUAGCUCAUUAAAUCCUUGAGAAAUAUGUGAAUGUGCGUUGAAAGUGGUUAUUAUGCUAUGUUAAUAUUUAUUACUAUAGGCAAAUAAACAAUUUGAAUAUUUUGAUUGUGAGAUAAAUGUUGAUUGAUUCAAACUGAUAUAAAUAUAUUAUUUUCUUGUGGAAUAGGAUCUAAGUUUUACUCUUGUUACCUUGUUCAUCAAUACAUCUUUUAGAAAGUGUCAAAUGUUGUAUAUGACAAAUAUAACCUUUCAUAUUGUUUUUACAACUUGAAGUUUAUGUUCUGUUGUCAGUCUGCAGCAUAAGCUCCUUCAAGUCCAGCUUUUCAAGGCCAGAAUGUUCAGGCUGUAGCAGGAAGCUGGUGUUACUGUUGGAUAGUAAACUAGUGUGUGUGUGUGUGUGUGUGUGUAUGUGUGUGUGUGUUCGUGCGUGCGUGUGUAUGCACACUCGUGUGCAUUGUGUCCUCUACCAGUGGGUCAUAAUAACAAAACUAAAUUUAAGUCAGUAAUUUAAGACAUAUCUGGAAGCAGUUCGUCAAACAAUUUUCAAUGCUGUUUAUUUAAAAAAGGACAAGGUUUUUACCGAUGAAAAAUGCUGGACUGAGAAAAUUAUAUGUUUAUUAUCCGUGGACUUGUGUAUUAAAAUUCAAACAUGCACAUAUGAUAUUUACUUAUAAAAAGAAAUGGUGGAAUGAAUCAGGAUAACCAGGUAUGGUCUUGAAGUAACUGUUAUCUGAGCUAAGUGAGUAAAUGUCCAGCAUAUUACCGAUCAAAGCAAAGAUUAUUUGUCAUGUGUUAGUUAUAGAUUCUUUUCCAUAAUUUUAAAGAACAGUUAGAGGUUUAAUAUAUUCUGAAUUGUUUCAUAAGAUGGGAUUUGUACAUAUAUUAGUUUCAAAAGCAAAAUUUUAUACUAAAAUUGUUGCAAUGAUUCUGAUAUCUCAUGAAAACACUACAUGCAUGAAAUCACUGGUUGCAUAAUGAGCAUAACACUGCAGUACCAAGGUUAUAGAAUCAAUUAUACACUGAUGUCCACCCUGUGUAGUUUCUUGAUGCACUAAAGUUUUCCAUAAAGUAUUAACCAUUAACCAGAGCCCAGGUACAGGUCAGACUGACUUUGAUCCGUGAAACUGAUCGCAAAAGAGUUGAGGUAAAGCCGCUGUGGUCAGAGACCUCUCCCCAGCACCUAAGUGACACCCAGAGUUGGUGGUACAAGUCCCAACAGCACCAGCAUUCAGCACCCCUGGACAAAUGGCCUUGACCCUUUGCUACAGGUCAGUCAGUGAGAAGCACCUGUCUGCUUUCUCAUACAGUGUACAGAACAACCUGUUAUCCCUCGUGUAAACAUCUGUAAGAGAUGAUAAUGAUGAUAAUAAUAAUAAUAAAUAAUAAUAAUAAUAAUAAUAAUAGUAAGACAUUAAUAAUUAUAAAACUUCUCACAUGUUAAUCAAUAACUAAUCCUAAGUCAUAAUCAUGACCUGUAUCAGUGUGUGUUACAAACUACAAGCCUUUGUGCUACUGUUUUAUACUUCUCAGCAUCUCUGCCUUUGUGGUGUACUGUAACAUAAUUAGUUAUAUAUAGCCAUGUUUAUUCUUUUGUUUAACUGUUCCGAUUCAAAAAGAUAAUUAUGACUGGACGUUUGCAUUGUUUCGACAUUGAGAUUCUAAAUAAAUUCUAAGAAUCUUUA